rnacentral:rRNA from 1 species
GACGAACGCUGGCGGCGUGCUUAACACAUGCAAGUCGAACGGAAAGGCCCUGCUUUUUUGGGGUGCUCGAGUGGCGAACGGGUGAGUAACACGUGAGUAACCUGCCCUUGCCUUUGGGAUAACUUACGGAAACUGGGGCUAAUACCUGAUAGGAGCUCCUGCUGCAUGGUGGGGGUUGGAAAGUUUCGGCGGUUGGGGUUGGUCUCGCGGCUUAUCAGCUUGUUGGUGGGGUAGUGGCUUACCAAGGCUUUGACGGGUAGCCGGCCUGAGAGGGUGACCGGCCACAUUGGGACUGAGAUACGGCCCAGACUCCUACGGGAGGCAGCAGUGGGGAAUAUUGCACAAUGGGCGGAAGCCUGAUGCAGCAACGCCGCGUGCGGGAUGACGGCCUUCGGGUUGGAAACCGCUUUCGCCUGUGACGAAGCGGGAGUGACGGUAAUGGGUAAAGAAGCACCGGCUAACUACGUG